GACGAACGCUGGCGGCGUGCCUAACACAUGCAAGUCGAGCGAGAAACCAUGAACUGACACUUCGGUAGAUUUUUAUGGCGGAAAGCGGCGGACGGGUGAGUAACGCGUAGGCAACCUGCCCUUUACAGAGGGAUAGCCUCGGGAAACCGGGAUUAAAACCUUAUGACACCGUAGUAUCUCCUGAUACAUCGGUCAAAGAUUUAUCGGUAAAGGAUGGGCCUGCGUCUGAUUAGUUAGUUGGUGAGGUAACGGCUCACCAAGGCAUUGAUCAGUAACCGACCUGAGAGGGUAAUCGGUCACAUUGGAACUGAGACACGGUCCAGACUCCUACGGGAGGCAGCAGUGGGGAAUAUUGCACAAUGGGCGCAAGCCUGAUGCAGCAACGCCGCGUGAACGAUGAAGAUUCUAUGAAUCGUAAAGUUCUGUUCUGAGGGAAGAAACAAAUGACGGUACCUCAGGAGCAAGCCCCGGCUAACUACGUGCCAGCCGCCGCCGUAAAAC
rnacentral:rRNA from 1 species